ACCAUCCUCCCAACUCAGCUUCCGGAGUAGCUGAGACUACAGGACGGCUGGGGGUGCCCUUUGUCCAGCCCACCGCUGCUGCUUGGAUUCGUGUAGAGAGCUGGGCCUUCUGAGCAGAGUGGGGACUGGGCCAAUACAUUUGCCUGUGCACCAGGCCAGUCCCAGCUGUUGGCAUCAAGUAGGAACCGGAAAGACAUCACUGGAGGAUUAAGUGGCACAAGAUUUCAGAGUACCAACUCGGAUCUAUUUCCAAGAAAUAUCUAGGAGGAAGUAUCACAGUGAGAAAACUCUUGGGGACCUUCACCCAAAGCCAGCCAUAGUGGAAGGCAAGAGAUAGAAUGCAGGUCCCAUUCUUCGCACUGUGAAGAUGAGCUGGGCAAGUUCGAAUGCCAAAAGGUCCUCUCCAUAAAGGCAAGAACUGAGCCCUUUCAUGGUUACGUGCCCUGUGCCUGGUACAGAGUAGGUGCUCGUUGAGCAUCUCCUGAAUGAACCAAUGUGUUGCACGUGGAGUCCUAACGCUCUUCAGCCUGGAUAAGUUGCCGACUGGACCUGGACUUUGCCUCGGGAUGCCCGAGGCCGGAGGUGAUUCCAGAGGUCCAUGGUGAAGAUGGUGCUGGCACUGUUAAAGAUGGAGGAGUUCCAGCACGAGUUUGGGAUACGCGAUGUCAGAACAGCCCGAGGGGUUGCUGCAGAUCUUCCGGCAGAUCUCGGGAUCUGCACAAGCCACUUGAUCUACGGAGGAAACACAGGCCCAGAGCUGUGUUCUCACCUGGGAAGAGGAUGCGGCUAACCAUCCCAGGGAACACCAUUAUGAAGAGGGGCAGCACCUUCAGACGUGACUUGCUCCUUCUUGCCUUCUGCCAUGAUUGUG